rnacentral:lncRNA from 1 species
AUUUUUUAACGAUUAAAUUAAGUAUUGUUAUCAAAUUAUAGAAAACGUUUUUUGUUUUUAUCACAAUUAUUAUUUUAAAAAUAUCAAAGUAAUUUUAUAAUAAAUUAAAAUAAUUGGCAGUUAGUUCCACUUUCUCAAAUUAUAGAACGUUCUUCCUUACACAUUACUGUUCUUUCUCUUCUCCAUUUAGUUCACAGGCAUUCUUCUCUCGCUCCUGGCAACAAUCUUCAUAGGUUUGAAUUUCGAUCUCAGUGGUUCACUCUCCUUUAGGUUUCUUGCUUUCACUCCCAUUUUCUCUUCUUGCUCUCUGUCGCCC